AGUACCUAGCCCACAUGAUUUGACUCAGAGAUUCUCUUUUGUCCACAGACAGUCAUCUCAGGAGCAGAAAGAAAAGAGCUCCCAAAUGCUAUAUCUAUUCAGGGGCUCUCAAGAACAAUGGAAUAUCAUCCUGAUUUAGAAAAUUUGGAUGAAGAUGGAUAUACUCAAUUACACUUCGACUCUCAAAGCAAUACCAGGAUAGCUGUUGUUUCAGAGAAAGGAUCGUGUGCUGCAUCUCCUCCUUGGCGCCUCAUUGCUGUAAUUUUGGGAAUCCUAUGCUUGGUAAUACUGGUGAUAGCUGUGGUCCUGGGUACCAUGGCUAUUUGGAGAUCCAAUUCAGGAAGCAACACAUUGGAGAAUGGCUACUUUCUAUCAAGAAAUAAAGAGAACCACAGUCAACCCACACAAUCAUCUUUAGAAGACAGUGUGACUCCUACCAAAGCUGUCAAAACCACAGGGGUUCUUUCCAGCCCUUGUCCUCCUAAUUGGAUUAUAUAUGAGAAGAGCUGUUAUCUAUUCAGCAUGUCACUAAAUUCCUGGGAUGGAAGUAAAAGACAAUGCUGGCAACUGGGCUCUAAUCUCCUAAAGAUAGACAGCUCAAAUGAAUUGAGUCUCACUCUGUUGCCCAAGCUAGAGUGCAGUGAAGCCGCGACAUCCCAGGCUCAAGUGAUCCUCCCACCUCAGCUUCCUGAGUAGGGAUUUAUAGUAAAACAAGUGUCUUCCCAACCUGAUAAUUCAUUUUGGAUAGGCCUUUCUCGGCCCCAGACUGAGGUACCAUGGCUCUGGGAGGAUGGAUCAACAUUCUCUUCUAACUUAUUUCAGAUCAGAACCACAGCUACCCAAGAAAACCCAUCUCCAAAUUGUGUAUGGAUUCACGUGUCAGUCAUUUAUGACCAACUGUGUAGUGUGCCCUCAUAUAGUAUUUGUGAGAAGAAGUUUUCAAUGUAAGAGGAAGGGUGGAGAAGGAGAGAGAAAUAUGUGAGGUAGUAAGGAGGACAGAAAACAGAACAGAAAAGAGUAACAGCUGAGGUCAAGAUAAAUGCAGAAAAUGUUUAGAGAGCUUGGCCAACUGUAAUCUUAACCAAGAAAUUGAAGGGAGAGGCUGUGAUUUCUGUAUUUGUCGACCUACAGGUAGGCUAGUAUUAUUUUUCUAGUUAGUAGAUCCCUAGACAUGGAAUCAGGGCAGCCAAGCUUGAGUUUUUAUUUUUUAUUUAUUUAUUUUUUUGAGAUAGGGUCUCACUUUGUUACCCAGGCUGGAGUGCAGUGGCACAAUCUCGACUCACUGCAGCUAUCUCUCGCCUCAGCCCCUCAAGUAGCUGGGACUACAGGUGCAUGCCACCAUGCCAGGCUAAUUUUUGGUGUUUUUUGUAGAGACUGGGUUUUGCCAUGUUGACCAAGCUGGUCUCUAACUCCUGGGCUUAAGUGAUCUGCCCGCCUUGGCCUCCCAAAGUGCUGGGAUUACAGAUGUGAGCCACCACACCUGGCCCCAAGCUUGAAUUUUCAUUCUGCCAUUGACUUGGCAUUUACCUUGGGUAAGCCAUAAGCGAAUCUUAAUUUCUGGCUCUAUCAGAGUUGUUUCAUGCUCAACAAUGCCAUUGAAGUGCACGGUGUGUUGCCACGAUUUGACCCUCAACUUCUAGCAGUAUAUCAGUUAUGAACUGAGGGUGAAAUAUAUUUCUGAAUAGCUAAAUGAAGAAAUGGGAAAAAAUCUUCACCACAGUCAGAGCAAUUUUAUUAUUUUCAUCAGUAUGAUCAUAAUUAUGAUUAUCAUCUUAGUAAAAAGCAGGAACUCCUACUUUUUCUUUAUCAAUUAAAUAGCUCAGAGAGUACAUCUGCCAUAUCUCUAAUAGAAUCUUUUUUUUUUUUUUUUUUUUUGAGACAGAGUUUCGCUCUUGUUGCCCAGGCUGGAGUGCAACGGCACGAUCUCGGCUCACCGCAACCUCCGCCCCCUGGGUUCAAGCAAUUCUCCUGCCUCAGCCUCCCAAGUAGCUGGGAUUACAGUCAGGCACCACCACACCCGGCUAAUUUUGUAUUUUUUUAGUAGAGACAGGGUUUCUCCAUGUCGGUCAGGGUAGUCCCGAACUCCUGACCUCAAGUGAUCUGCCUGCCUCGGCCUCCCAAGUGCUGGGAUUACAGGCGUGAGCCACUGCACCCAGCCUAGAAUCUUGUAUAAUAUGUAAUUGUAGGGAAACUGCUCUCAUAGGAAAGUUUUCUGCUUUUUAAAUACAAAAAUACAUAAAAAUACAUAAAAUCUGAUGAUGAAUAUAAAAAAGUAACCAACCUCAUUGGAACAAGUAUUAACAUUUUGGAAUAUGUUUUAUUAGUUUUGUGAUGUACUGUUUUACAAUUUUUACCAUUUUUUUCAGUAAUUACUGUAAAAUGGUAUUAUUGGAAUGAAACUAUAUUUCCUCAUGUGCUGAUUUGUCUUAUUUUUUUCAUACUUUCCCACUGGUGCUAUUUUUAUUUCCAAUGGAUAUUUCUGUAUUACUAGGGAGGCAUUUACAGUCCUCUAAUGUUGAUUAAUAUGUGAAAAGAAAUUGUACCAAUUUUACUAAAUUAUGCAGUUUAAAAUGGAUGAUUUUAUGUUAUGUGGAUUUCAUUUCAAUAAAAAAAAACUCUUAUCAAAAAA